GUCUACUCAGCAGUGAAGACAGACAGACAGAGAUACAGGUAGAGCUGUAUCUGGACCCAGGGACGUAAUGUACAGACUGAGUGACCCUGUUCAUCAGAACGUCAUGGUGGGUGGAAAAAGAUGCUCUCUUCAGCUGAAGUGAAUAACCACAACCCUGUCAGUCCAUCUCUUUACUUCUCUUGUCGCUUCUCUUCUCUCUCCCUCCUUCCCUUUUCACACCAACGCACUUAUCUUUAGACGCUUCGGCCUUGACCGCCAUCAACAUCAUCAACAACAGAGACGUGUGAAGUUUCCACAACAAGAGUUAGUUUAUCAUGAGGACAUAC